UACGUAGGGUGCAAGCGUUAAUCGGAAUUACUGGGCGUAAAGCGUGCGCAGGCGGUUGUGCAAGACCGAUGUGAAAUCCCCGGGCUUAACCUGGGAAUGGCAUCGGUGACUGCACGGCUAGAGUGUGUCAGAGGGGGGUAGAAUUCCACGUGUAGCAGUGAAAUGCGUAGGGAUGUGGAGGAAUACCGAUGGCGAAGGCAGCCCCCUGGGAUAACACUGACGCUCAUGCACGAAAGCGUGGGGGAGCAAACGGG
rnacentral:rRNA from 1 species